CAGGAGCCAGCUUGCAGGCUCACUCGGGGGCGCACGCGGACUUCAAGACUGACGCCUGACCCCACCAGCCCUCCCACGGAUCCGCGCUCCAAGAUUUCAAAAAGAGGACUUCGAUUCUGAAGAGCCCAACUCCAGGGCCACCUUCCAGCAAUCAGAUACUUUCAGGGGACGUAAUCAACCCAUUGUGGAUUAGCAUGGAAUGUGGCCCAGUUACGUACCCACAAGACUGCCUAAAUAGGAACAUGAAAGAAGAAGAGCUUGAUAGGCUUGGGACAAAGACGUUGCCCUGGAUGAAGGUGGUGGAAAUGAGCCUUGGUUACGUGGGUCAGUCUUAUUUGCUUCACAGAUUUCUUACGAAGAAAAGUUCAAACACUUUAAUGACUAUGUGUACACUCU